ACACUAGCACAGCAAUACAGAGUAGGGCAGACAGGGAAGUCAUUUUUGAAAUGGCUAUUACUCAGCCCCAGGAGGAGGGACAUAUGUCUGACAGUUACCAUUUGGUCCAUGGUGUCUUAGCAUCUAUUUUUUUCAUUUCAGGUGAAGCCAUGGCAGUGUGGAAGAUAGAGCACCAUGUGUUUGCCUAUGACAGUUACAUGAAGAAUGAUGAGUCUGUCACAGCAGUUUAGCGUGAGUAUCAAUGCCACUUCAACAUUCACUGAAAUCAGGCUGUUCCCACCUGCAACACAAUCUUACAUUGGGCAACUGCACUUCGUACAUGAGGUUUACUAAUGAAUAGGAGAUUGGUGGGGGCACCACAAAUGGUACAGACACCAGAAAAUGUGGAACGCAUCAGACAAGCUUUGAUACAGAGUUUGAAUCAUUCUACUCAAAGACAUUCCACUGAACUUGGCAUCAGUAAUCAAUCGGUAUGGUGUAUUUUGCAUGAAGACCUACAGUUCCAUCCAUGCAAAUUGGUCAUUGGACAACAGUUGAAACCAUGGGACUAUGCAUGGUAGCUUAACUUUGCACAUCAGAUGGGAACAAUUUUUUAGGCAAAUGACCUCAUUUUGUUAAUGAGUGAUGAGGCUCAUUUUCAGCUCAAUGGCAUGGUGAAU